rnacentral:rRNA from 1 species
AAAGCGUGCGUAGGCGGCUUUUUAAGUCGGAUGUGAAAUCCCCGAGCUUAACUUGGGAAUUGCAUUCGAUACUGGGAAGCUAGAGUAUGGGAGAGGAUGGUAGAAUUCCAGGUGUAGCGGUGAAAUGCGUAGAGAUCUGGAGGAAUACCGAUGGCGAAGGCAGCCAUCUGGCCUAAUACUGACGCUGAGGUACGAAAGCAUGGGGAGCAAACAGGAUUAGAUACCCUGGUAGUCCAUGCCGUAAACGAUGUCUACUAGCCGUUGGGGCCUUUGAGGCUUUAGUGGCGCAGCUAACGCGAUAAGUAGACCGCCUGGGGAGUACGGUCGCAAGACUAAAACUCAAAUGAAUUGACGGGGGCCCGCACAAGCGGUGGAGCAUGUGGUUUAAUUCGAUGCAACGCGAAGAACCUUACCUGGUCUUGACAUAGUAAGAACUUUCCAGAGAUGGAUUGGUGCCUUCGGGAACUUACAUACAGGUGCUGCAUGGCUGUCGUCAGCUCGUGUCGUGAGAUGUUGGGUUAAGUCCCGCAACGAGCGCAACCCUUUUCCUUAUUUGCCAGCACUUCGGGUGGGAACUUUAAGGAUACUGCCAGUGACAAACUGGAGGAAGGCGGGGACGACGUCAAGUCAUCAUGGCCCUUACGACCAGGGCUACACACGUGCUACAAUGGUCGGUACAAAGGGUUGCUACCUAGCGAUAGGAUGCUAAUCUCAAAAAGCCGAUCGUAGUCCGGAUUGGAGUCUGCAACUCGACUCCAUGAAGU